UGAAGAAAAAUGUGCCUACAAUGUCCCUAGU
rnacentral:piRNA from 1 species